rnacentral:rRNA from 1 species
UACGAAGGGGGGCUAGCGUUGCUCGGAAUCACUGGGCGUAAAGCGCACGUAGGCGGCUUUUUAAGUCAGGGGUGAAAUCCUGGAGCUCAACUCCAGAACUGCCUUUGAUACUGGCGACCUAGAGUUCGGAAGAGGUUAGUGGAAUUCCCAGUGUAGAGGUGAAAUUCGUAGAUAUUGGGAAGAACACCAGUGGCGAAGGCGGCUAACUGGUCCGAUACUGACGCUGAGGUGCGAAAGCGUGGGGAGCAAACAGG